CAUUGGUGCAUAUAACAGGCUCCUUAAACUCUCUGUGCUUAGAUCAACCAGUCACAGAGCAAAUUCAAGAGAAAGGAAACAUUUGCUGUUUCUCUACUCAUCUGCUGACAUAAAGGCUGCAGAAUCUGGCUUUAACAUUGCAGCAAAGCCAAGGAGAGACUCACCUCUACAAAAUCAGAAGGUCCAGCUGAUUUCACCAGGCUCCAUAUGGGCAGCCACUGAGCCACAUACCUUCAGUCCUGGAAGGAUUCUCUCCCAGACAUGCAGAAAAAGGUGGAAAUCUGAAGUGAGAGCUGCUCAGCUAUGGGCAAGCUCUGGAAUGAGUGCAAACCUUCAUAUCACCACAACCUUACUCCUGGGCUGGCAGGGGAGAAAUAGUUUCAGUUCUUGCUUGUUAUUCCUAUUUGUUUCAGAAAUUUUGCACUAACAUGUUUACCUAUCUGCUCAUUUCAAAGUUCCCCACUAUAUGAGAAAAUGAUCAAAUAAUAGUCCUAGAAGAUACAUGGUGCCCCUUUACUUUAGUCUAACUGCAUUUUAAAAUUAGAUAUUUUGGUGUAGCUUGGCCUUUGUUUCCAACGUGUCUAUCUAAUGCAUUAAUAACUGCCUAUGGUGAAGCAGCAGCCUCACUAAUGAUGGAACACAUGUAAUAUCAAUUUAACACCAAUAUAAAUUUUUAUAUAUUUCAACAAUUUUUAGGGCUGCUUGUCUCUAUUUAAUCUAUUGGAGCUUACUGUUACAGCAAAUCAUCUGAAUUUGUCUUGUACUGGGGGUGAUAGGUAUCAACCAGAUGCUCAUUCCCACACCAGACAGUUACUGAAGAAUCUGCACAAAAGUUACAACUUCUCAAAGAGCCAACUUUGCUAUUAAAACUAUGGCAAAGCUUCACUGACCGGACUCACUAUGGGGUGUGAGACCCUGCAAAAGCCACUGUGAUGAUAAAACAUAAAUAUAUAUGUAUACGUAUAUAUAAAGCUUUCAAAAAUUCCAACUAAUAUUGUUUAAUGUGGCUAUCCCAAUUCUCUCACACAAAUGCUAUCAUUCCAUUUCUCAUUAUUUAUAUUCAGUGUGGUUCUUAAGAGAGCAGUGAGCAACAUGCCAUUUUGGAACUGCUGUUACCAAGGGCAUACACAGUUUAAUUAUUAAAACAAAGCUGUUACGUAGCAUGCUCUAAGUGCCACUGCUGCCACUUAGAAACUGAUGUGAUUUGCAUUUCUUUUAAUAAAUUAGGUAUUUAAUUACAUUAUAAAUGUAACCUCUAAUUGAAGUACCUUCUCCCCAUGGGCAUAACUCCGUAAUAAUUUGCACAAGCUACCUAGAAGUGGGUGCAUGCUGCUGCAGAAAUGGAAACCUCACUAAUAAGCACUUAAACAUCAUUCUUGAGGAUUUUUGCAACUUAAUGGACUUUCCCCCAGGAUAUCUCUUUGGAGGAUUUGUUCUGCUGUAUUGUGUUGCCUUUUACUUGUCCUCUACUUGUGGCCAUUUGUUUGUUUGCACUUUUCUCCUUGAUAGCUUUUAUUUUUCAUGCCUGGAUGCCCACUGCUAUCUCCAUAGUAUGUAGAGGUGGAUGCAAGUCCUUGUCUUUGGAUAUUUCAUAGCAAUGGUGUUGCUGAAUUGUUCUAAACCUAUUUAACUGCCUAAACGCAGAUUAAAAUUUUAAUAUCUAUAGUGUUACUGAACUAUUAAGUGAGUUCAGAUAUGUCAGUUUUCUGUGGGUAGUAAUUCAUGGACCCAAUUUAAAAGAGCAGUUCCCUGCUGAGGAUGCCAAGUAAAACUUCAUCAAAUGCGGAAGUCGUGUAUCAGUAUGAUUGCUAAAAAUUUAACAGCUUUAAAGAUAUUUAUUUACCUUAGCCUCUUGACUGGAUCUUGUCUAAGCUGUUGUUUUCUGCUUGUCUAAAAUUUUUUGUCAAUUCAGUAAGGAAUUUCAUUAAUAUUUUAUUUGAUUUGAUUUUAUAUUUUAUUUUAUAUUUUAUUUUAUUUUAUUUUUUCUGUAAGUUACUUCAAACUGCUUGUGGCCAAUUUAACUCACAAAGCAACUGAGUCAAUGAAUUCAAAUAAUAGCUGCCCAUAUUUCUUAUGUUUAGAGAAUGUUGUGAAGUUGGUGAAAACAGAGUAUAAAUCAAUAUAUUUAACCAACAGUAGUGUUUGAUCAGGUCAUAAAAA